rnacentral:rRNA from 1 species
UACAGAGGGUGCGAGCGUUAAUCGGAAUUACUGGGCGUAAAGAGCGUGUAGGCGGCCAUGCAGGUCCGUUGUGAAAACUGGAGGCUUAACCUCCAGACGUCGAUGGAAACCGUAUGGCUAGAGUCCGGAAGAGGAGAGUGGAAUUCCUGGUGUAGCGGUGAAAUGCGCAGAUAUCAGGAAGAACACCCGUGGCGAAGGCGGCUCUCUGGGACGGUACUGACGCUGAGACGCGAAAGCGUGGGGAGCGAACAGG